GUGUCUAUAGUGGUGUCCGGUAAAUGCAAGUUUAUUGCAUGAUGCAUUAUGCUUAGCACCAGUUAUAUUAUCAUUUUAGCAAUAUCGUUGUUUUCCAGAUAUAUGUCAUUCAAUGUAUGUUCAAAGGACUGCACUUUUAAAAGAGUUGCUCAUUCUCUAAGUCCACCGUUCGGUGCUGUGAAAUGCAUGUACGUUGGACAGCAUAGUGUUUGGCCUUCAGCUGACGGUAGUAUUGGGCCAUUUGCAUGCACAUAAAGUACCAUUAAGACAAAUGUGAAAAGACAAGUGAAAAUAUGAUACAGCCAUGUAGUGAAACUUACAAAUAAGCAAAUUGUUUGAUGCCAUCCCUAGGAAAGUAGGCAAAAAUACAAGAAUGUGCUUAGGUGCUAAACAGUACCUAUGUUCCAGGCAUAUGGCCUUUUACUGCCAUGUACCUUAACAGUUCAUUAUUUAACACUGCAACACUAUUUGCCUUAUUUAUGUCUAACUGCUCUGAAUUCGAAAAUUUUCAUUGAUUGGAAUAUGAAGGUUAUGGCAGUGUCUCGAGUCACUGCCAGAUUUAAAUUUAUAGUUGUAGCCGUCGUAUGUGCAAUGACAAAGUAUUUUGGAACCAGGUGACUGUUAAGCAGUAUGCUAAGUGUGCAUAUUAGAACAGUCACUUAUAUUUUUAUUGUAAACGUGCAUAGUGUGUGUGCACAUGUCGAAGCCAUAGACUGUGCAGUCUUAAUCAUAGGUAUAAUUUUCCGGAUAAGGGUUUUUCUGUAAGCAUUGUCUAGAAUUAGCAGUACGUUAAGGUGUAGUGAAGCCGAGAGAAAAUAUUGUUAAAACGAAAUGCUUAAAGUACAUCCUGGAGAGUCCUAAGCACAUUUGGAUGACUUUAAUGCAUGUAGUAAAACAAGAAUGGGAACUGAGGUGGUUGAUCUUUGUUCGUUAUUACCAGAUGGCACCAACAAACAAUGAAGAGAAAAGAAAAGAGGAAGGGAAGUGAACUGGACCAAAGGGCAACUCGCUGUUUGUGGGAGCUGCAUUCACAUCGGCAUGAUGCAUGCAAUCUUCAAGCUAUAGGAGCAGCUCUCCUCCUGUUCACUUUGUUGCACAUUUGUAUUGUGUGUGUACUAGGUUUGGCCCUGGAAGUGUUAGGCAGUGCCACUUGUGGCCUUGGUGCUGGAUGCAACACAUCCUUCUAACCACAGGUGUCACGUAUUAUGUGAGCCUCAGUUCUUUUGAAUUCAUGUAACCAACAAAAGUUCCACUUGAAAGGAUGUGCCAUAUUCGCUGCCAUUGCCAUGAGUAGCACUGGCUGACAGUUACAGGGUGAGACAUUGAUUAACCUUGCUCAUCUAUUAUGCAAAACUAUUUCACAUACAAAUGUGGUAAUUAGUAUUCAUGCAAAAAGCCUCACAGAAUAACAUUUUUGAUCUGCAUGUAACAAUGAUUGUUACUUUGGUUUAACUCAGGGUGCCUUUCUACCUGUUCUGCAUUCUGUGGCUGACCACUCCAGCGAUCCCAGCAGAAUCGUUACACAGAUUGCUGUUUUCGGCUCAUCGUUGUCACCAUCUAGCACGUGUGCUACGUCUACAUCUCUAUCGAAUUUCCUGCUGGAUCCACCGCUACAAGCAGCUGACAGCAGCCUUGAUUAUCUCAGCAUGGAAGACGUCAUCUUCACGCCGGUAUCAAGUGGGACACGGACACUGCCGCCAGCGGCAGCACUGCAGUGCUUAGAUUUAAGCAACUGGCAUCAGCAAGGCGCUUCCAGUGGGCACGGGAGAGCAGCUACCAUGCGGUCGCUGCUAAGCUCUCCUUUCUGCUUUCUUAUGCAGAUUCGGCUGCCCGACACUCCAGAAGGACGUGGAGGACGGUCAGCCUCUCCCCGCAUCUACCACAGGUUGGAG